CCUUCGCUAGCUCAACGGUCGAGCAUGGAACAACUGCAGCAUGAUUGUUGAUCCAGUGGCGCCGGUUCGACUCCGACGCGAAGGA